AAAUUGAAGAGUUUGAUCAUGGCUCAGAUUGAACGCUGGCGGCAGGCCUAACACAUGCAAGUCGAACGGUAACAGGGAGAAGCUUGCUUCUUUGCUGA
rnacentral:rRNA from 1 species